CCUACGGGCGACAGCAGUGAGGAAUAUUGGUCAAUGGCCGUAAGGCUGAACCAGCCAAGUCGCGUGAAGGAAGAAGGAUCUAUGGUGUGUAAACUUCUUGUAUAGGGGAAUAAAGGUAGCCACGUGUGGAUAUUUGCAUGUACCCUAUGAAUAAGCAUCGGCUAACUCCGUGCCAGCAGCCGCGGUAAUACGGAGGAUGCGAGCGUUAUCCGGAUUUAUUGGGUUUCAAGGGUGCGUAGGUUGUUUUUUAAGUCAGCGGUGAAAGUUUGUGGCUCAACCCUAAAAUUGCCGUUGAAACUGGCAGCCUUGAGUGUGUUUGCGGUAGGCGGACUGCGUGGUGUAGCGG
rnacentral:rRNA from 1 species